rnacentral:rRNA from 1 species
GACGAACGCUGGCGGCGUGCCUAAUACAUGCAAGUCGAACGCAUUUUCUUUUACCGUAGCUUGCUACACCGAAAGAAAUUGCGUGGCGAACGGGUGAGUAACACGUGGGUAACCUGCCCAUCAGCGGGGGAUAACACUUGGAAACAGGUGCUAAUACCGCAUAAUUCCAUUUACCGCAUGGUAAAUGGAUGAAAGGCGCUUUUGCGUCACUGAUGGAUGGACCCGCGGUGCAUUAGCUAGUUGGUGGGGUAACGGCCUACCCAGGCGGCGAUGCGUAGCCGGCCCGCGAAGGUGAUGGGCCAGACUGGGACUGAGACACGGCCCGGACUCCUUGGGGAGGAGGCAGUAGGGAAACUUCGGCGAGGGGCGGAAGUGGGGCCGAGCGACGCCGGGGGGUUGAAGAAGGGUUGCGGAUCGGAGAGCGCGGUUGUGAGAGAAGAAAAAGGAUGAGAGUGGAGAGGUGAAGAAUUGACGGGAACUUGAGAGAAAGCCCCGGCUAAAUUCGUG